rnacentral:lncRNA from 1 species
GGAUGAAAGAGUGAUGUGUAGAGAAAGACAGAAAAGGUGGGGACUAUUUUAAAUAGGAUGGUCAAGGAAAGGCUUGUCUGAGCUGAGACCUGAAGAGCAAGAAGCAAAUAAGUGAAUAUACUGGGGAAUGAUCUGGAGAAGAGGCAAGAACCAGUGCAAAGUUCCUGAGGCAGUAACAGGCUUGACUUCUUCAAGGAACAGAAAAAAAGGCAGCAAGGUGAUAAUUAAUGAGGAGAGGGAAAAAGAUGAGCUUGGAAAGGCAGGCAGGGACCAGAUCACAUGGGACCUGUUGUACCUUGCUAACAGGUUGGGACUUUUUACGAACAAUGAAAAGCCAUUGAAGAAUUUAUAUGAGCAUCUAAGAACUUACAGACAACAAGAAAAGGGAUACCUUAAGAAAUCAGAUUCAGUUAAAAUCCCCAUGGUACUCUUUUCAGUCCUAUUCUCCUCCCUCUUUAAAGGUAACUGCCAUUCUAAACUUUAUGCUUGUAAUUUUCUUGCAUGUUUUUGUGCUUUUACCACACAUACUCAUACAUAUCUAUAAACAAUAUGUAGCACUGCCUUGCAUGUUUUUAAACUUUAUAUGAAUGGUACCAUACUGUGCAUAUUCUUCUGUACUUGCUUUUUUACCUUCAGUAUUAUGUUGCUGAGAUUUAUCCAUGCUCAUUAAUCCUUAGCAACUACUUAG